AGACGUCUACAUUAGAUACCCCUGUAGUCCCAGCCGUAAACUAUGCGCGUUAGGUGUAUCGGUGACCACGAGUUACCGAGGUGCCGAAGGGAAACCGUGAAACGUGCCGCCUGGGAAGUACGGUCGCAAGGCUGAAACUUAAAGGAAUUGGCGGGGAGCACCACAACGGGUGGAGCCUGCAGUUUAAUUGGACUCAACGCCGGGAAGCUCACCGGAUAAGACAGCGGAAUGAUUGCCGGGCUGAAGACUCUGCAUGACUAGCUG
rnacentral:rRNA from 1 species